rnacentral:rRNA from 1 species
AUUGAUUUUAUGCUUGCAUAAAUGAUUUUUGGAUUCGGAGCGAGUGGCGAACUGGUGAGUAACACGUGGGUAACCUGCCCCAAAGCGGGGGAUAACAUUUGGAAACAAGUGCUAAUACCGCAUAAUUAGUUGGAACCGCAUGGUUCCAACUUGAAAGAUGGCUCUGCUAUCACUUUGGGAUGGACCCGCGCCGUAUUAGUUAGUUGGUGAGAUAAAAGCCCACCAAGACGAUGAUACGUAGCCGACCUGAGAGGGUAAUCGGCCACAUUGGGACUGAGACACGGCCCAGACUCCUACGGGAGGCAGCAGUAGGGAAUCUUCCACAAUGGACGAAAGUCUGAUGGAGCAACGCCGCGUGAGUGAUGAAGGUUUUCGGAUCGUAAAACUCUGUUGUUAAAGAAGAACAAGUGUUAGAGUAACUGUUAACACUUUGACGGUAUUUAACCAGGAAGCCACGGCUAACUACGUGCCAGCAGCCGCGGUAAUACGUAGGUGGCAAGCGUUGUCCGGAUUUAUUGGGCGUAAAGCGAGCGCAGGCGGUUUUGUAAGUCUGCUGUGAAAGCCCUCAGCUCAACUGAGGAAGUGCAGUGGAAACUACAAAACUUGAGUACAGAAGAGGAAAGUGGAACUCCAUGUGUAGCGGUGAAAUGCGUAGAUAUAUGGAAGAACACCAGUGGCGAAGGCGGCUUUCUGGUCUGUUACUGACGCUGAGGCUCGAAAGCAUGGGUAGCGAACAGGAUUAGAUACCCUGGUAGUCCAUGCCGUAAACGAUGAAUACUAGGUGUUGGAGGGUUUCCGCCCUUCAGUGCCGCAGCUAACGCAUUAAGUAUUCCGCCUGGGGAGUACGACCGCAAGGUUGAAACUCAAAGGAAUUGACGGGGGCCCGCACAAGUGGUGGAGCAUGUGGUUUAAUUCGAUGCUACGCGAAGAACCUUACCAGCUCUUGACAUCUUCUGCCAACCCAAGAGAUUGGGCGUUCCCUUCGGGGACAGAAUGACAGGUGGUGCAUGGUUGUCGUCGGCUCGUGUCGUGAGAUGUUGGGUUAAGUCCCGCAACGAGCGCAACCCUUAUUAUUAGUUGCCAGCAUUUAGUUGGGCACUCUAGUGAGACUGCCGGUGAUAAA